rnacentral:rRNA from 1 species
GUGGGGAAUCUUCCGCAAUGGACGAAAGUCUGACGGAGCGACGCCGCGUGAGUGAAGAAGGCCUUCGGGUCGUAAAGCUCUGUCAUCAGGGACGAACGGCCGGUGGAGUGGAAAGCCACCGGAUUGACGGUACCUGAGAAGGAAGCCACGGCUAACUACGUGCCAGCAGCCGCGGUAAUACGUAGGUGGCAAGCGUUGUCCGGAAUGAUUGGGCGUAAAGUGCGCGCAGGUGGGAUCUUAAGUCCAUUUUUAAAGUUCGGAGCUCAACUCCGUAAUGGGAUGGAAGCUGGGAUUCUUGAGUACCGGAGAGGAGAGCGGAAUUCCCCGUGUAGCGGUGACAUGCGUAGAUAUAGGGAGGAACACCAGUGGCGAAGGCGGCUUUCUGGACGGUGUCUGACACUGAGGCGCGAAAGCCAGGGGAGCGAACGGGAUUAGAAACCCCAGUAGUCC